rnacentral:rRNA from 1 species
CCCUUAGAUGUUCUGGGCCGCACGCGCGCUACAAUGAUGAAUUCAACGAGUUUAUAACCUCGGUUGAAAAGCCUGGGUAAUCUUUUGAACUUUCGUCGUGAUGGGGCUAGACCCUUGCAAUUAUUGGUCUCCAACGAGGAAUUCCUAGUAAACGCAAGUCAUCAGCUUGCAUUGAUUACGUCCCUGCCCUUUGUACACACCGCCCGUCGCACCUACCGAUUGAAUGGUCCGGUGAAAUCUUCGGAUUGAGACUUUGAUUUCUUCACGGAAAACGCUGUUUUAAAAAGUUGAUUAAACCUUACCAUUUAGAGGAAGGUGAAGUCGUAACA